GAUGAACGCUAGCGGCAGGCCUAAUACAUGCAAGUCGAGCGGCAAGUCGAGGAGUAAUCUGAGGCCUAGAGCGGCGCACGGGUGCGUAACGCGUAUGCAACCUACCUUAUACAGGGGAUAGCCCGGAGAAUCUGGAUUAAUACCCCAUGGCACAUAUUGAUGGCAUCUGAGAUAUGUUAAAGAUUUAUCGGUAUAAGAUGGGCAUGCGUCUGAUUAGCUAGUUGGCGGUGUAACGGACCACCAAGGCGACGAUCAGUUGGGCUUCUGAGAGGAAGGUCCCCCACACUGGCACUGAGAUACGGGCCAGACUCCUACGGGAGGCAGCAGUAGGGAAUAUUGGGCAAUGGUCGGAAGACUGACCCAGCCAUGCCGCGUGCAGGAAGACGGCCCCUCUGGGUUGUAAACUGCUUUUAUCUGGGAAGAAAAGGGCCAUGCGUGGCAAAUUGCCGGUACCAGAUGAAUAAGCACCGGCUAACUCCGUGCCAGCAGCCGCGGUAAUACGGAGGGUGCAAGCGUUGUCCGGAUUUAUUGGGUUUAAAGGGUGCGUAGGCGGCUGAUUAAGUCAGCGGUGAAAGACUUCGGCUUAACCGGAGCAGUGCCGUUGAUACUGGUUAGCUUGAGUGUUGGAGGGGUACAUGGAAUUGAUGGUGUAGCGGUGAAAUGCAUAGAUACCAUCAGGAACACCGAUAGCGAAGGCAUUGUACUGGCCAACAACUGACGCUGAUGCACGAAAGUGUGGGGGAUCGAACAGGAUUAGAUACCCUGGUAGUCCCUGAGACUGCC
rnacentral:rRNA from 1 species